rnacentral:tRNA from 1 species
GGGCGCUUAGCUCAGAGGGAGAGCGCCUCUCUGACGCAGAGGAGGUCGCAGGUUCAAGUCCUGCAGCGCCCACCA